CCUACGGGAGGCAGCAGUGGGGAAUAUUGCACAAUGGGCGCAAGCCUGAUCCAGCAACGCCGCGUGAGUGAAGAAGGUUUUCGGAUUGUAAAGCUCUGUUAGUAGAGGAGAGGAGGGACGGUAGCUGCAGAGGAAGUCAGGGCUAACUACGUGAGAGCAGCCGCGGUACUACGUAGGUGGCAAGGGUUGUUCGGAGUAACGGGGGGUAAAGGGUGUGUAGGGGGUUAAAGAAGUUAUAUGUUAAAUAUAUAGGCUUAACCUGUAGAACGCAUAGAAAACUGGUUAACUAGAGUGCAGGAGAGGUAAGUGGAAUUCCUGGUGUAGCGGUGAAAUGCGUAGAGAUUAGGAAGAACACCAGUGGCGAAGGCGGCUUACUGGACUGUAACUGACGCUGAGGCAUGAGAGCGUGGGGAGCAAACAGGAUUAGAUACCCUUGUAGUC
rnacentral:rRNA from 1 species